GAUGAACGCUGGCGGCGUGCCUAAUACAUGCAAGUCGAGCGAACGGACGAGAAGCUUGCUUCUCUGAUGUUAGCGGCGGACGGGUGAGUAACACGUGGAUAACCUACCUAUAAGACUGGGAUAACUUCGGGAAACCGGAGCUAAUACCGGAUAAUAUUUUGAACCGCAUGGUUCAAAAGUGAAAGACGGUCUUGCUGUCACUUAUAGAUGGAUCCGCGCUGCAUUAGCUAGUUGGUAAGGUAGCGGCUUACCAAGGCAACGAUGCAUAGCCGACCUGAGAGGGGGAACGGCCACAAUGGAACUGGGAAAAGGGCCCGAAUCCUAAGGGAGGCAGCAGUAGGGAAUCUUUCGGAAUGGGCGAAAGCCUGACGGAGCAAAGGCGCGGGAGUGAAGAAGGUCUUCGGAUCGUAAAAAUCUGUUAUUAGGGAAGAACAUAUGGUUAAGGAACUGUGCACCUCUUGACGGUACCUAAUCAGAAAGCCAAGGCUAACUAAGUG
rnacentral:rRNA from 1 species